AUUGAACGCUGGCGGCAUGCCUUACACAUGCAAGUCGAACGGCAGCACGGACUUCGGUCUGGUGGCGAGUGGCGAACGGGUGAGUAAUGUAUCGGAACGUACCUUUCAGUGGGGGGAUAACGUAGCGAAAGUUACGCUAAUACCGCAUAUUCUGUGAGCAGGAAAGCAGGGGAUCGCAAGACCUUGCGCUGAUUGAGCGGCCGAUAUCAGAUUAGCUAGUUGGUGGGGUAAAGGCCUACCAAGGCUACGAUCUGUAGCGGGUCUGAGAGGAUGAUCCGCCACACUGGAACUGAGACACGGUCCAGACUCCUACGGGAGGCAGCAGUGGGGAAUUUUGGACAAUGGGGGCAACCCUGAUCCAGCCAUGCCGCGUGAGUGAAGAAGGCCUCGGGUUGGUAAAGGUAC
rnacentral:rRNA from 1 species